UACAGAGGGCCCGAGCGUUGUUCGGAUUCACUGGGCGUAAAGGGUGCGUAGGCGGUUCUGCAAGUCUGAUGUGAAAUCUCCGGGCCCAACCCGGAAAUGGCAUUAGAAACUGCAGGGCUAGAGGCUUGGAGGGGGAACUGGAAUGCUCGGUGUAGCAGUGAAAUGCGUAGAGAUCGAGCGGAACACCAGUGGCGAAGGCGAGUUCCUGGACAAGACCUGACGCUGAGGCACGAAAGCCAGGGGAGCAAACAGG
rnacentral:rRNA from 1 species